CCCUACGCACAAAUAAUCUUGACUGGGCUUUGAGCCGUCUUACAGCAGCAACCAUCCAGGUCGUAUAGGUAGCCCACCAGCAUGGUCUCCAGGACGCUCAACCCCACAAAGGUGCUUCCUGGGCAUUAAUCCUGAGAUGGGCUCGAAAGCCAAAAAGAGGCAUGACAAUUUAAACCCCCAUGUCAGCACAUUCUUCAGAAAAAUGGUUGACUUCGAGUGGAUGUCUGUGUAGACAUGUGUUAAGUGUUCCCCUCCUUGUUUUAUGUUCUGUCUCCCUGCUGCGUAGGUGCACCUGGUCUUCCCCUGGCUCCGCCUCUGCCCAGGUGUUCCAAAUUCCACUCAGCCGUGUAUAUAUAAAGAGAAGCUGGAGGAGAACGAUGUCUCGCCUA